ACGCUGGCGGCAUGCUUUACACAUGCAAGUCGGACGGCAGCACAGAGAAGCUUGCUUCUUGGGUGGCGAGUGGCGAACGGGUGAGUAACAUAUCGGAACGUACCGAGCAGUGGGGGAUAACUAAUCGAAAGAUUAGCUAUACCGCAUAUAUUCUGAGGAAGAAAGCAGGGGACCAUUUGGCCUUGCGCUGUUUGAGCGGCCGAUAUCUGAUUAGCUAGUUGGUGGGGUAAAGGCCUACCAAGGCGACGAUCAGUAGCGGGUCUGAGAGGAUGAUCCGCCACACUGGGACUGAGACACGGCCCAGACUCCUACGGGAGGCAGCAGUGGGGAAUUUUGGACAAUGGGCGCAAGCCUGAUCCAGCCAUGCCGCGUGUCUGAAGAAGGCCUUCGGGUUGUAAAGGACUUUUGUCAGGGAAGAAAAGGGCGGGGUUAAUACCCCUGUCUGAUGACGGUACCUGAAGAAUAAGCACCGGCUAACUACGUGCCAGCAGCCGCGGUAAUACGUAGGGUGCGAGCGUUAAUCGGAAUUACUGGGCGUAAAGCGGGCGCAGACGGUUACUUAAGCAGGAUGUGAAAUCCCCGGGCUCAACCUGGGAACUGCGUUCUGAACUGGGUGACUAGAGUGUGUCAGAGGGAGGUAGAAUUCCACGUGUAGCAGUGAAAUGCGUAGAGAUGUGGAGGAAUACCGAUGGCGAAGGCAGCCUCCUGGGAUAACACUGACGUUCAUGCCCGAAAGCGUGGGUAGCAAACAGGAUUAGAUACCCUGGUAGUCCACGCCCUAAACGAUGUCGAUUAGCUGUUGGGCAGCAUGACUGCUUAGUAGCGAAGCUAACGCGUGAAAUCGACCGCCUGGGGAGUACGGUCGCAAGAUUAAAACUCAAAGGAAUUGACGGGGACCCGCACAAGCGG
rnacentral:rRNA from 1 species